rnacentral:rRNA from 1 species
GAUGAACGCUGGCGGCGUGCCUAAUACAUGCAAGUCGAGCGAACAGACGAGGAGCUUGCUCCUCUGACGUUAGCGGCGGACGGGUGAGUAACACGUGGAUAACCUACCUAUAAGACUGGGAUAACUUCGGGAAACCGGAGCUAAUACCGGAUAAUAUAUUGAACCGCAUGGUUCAAUAGUGAAAGACGGUUUUGCUGUCACUUAUAGAUGGAUCCGCGCCGCAUUAGCUAGUUGGUAAGGUAACGGCUUACCAAGGCAACGAUGCGUAGCCGACCUGAGAGGGUGGUCGGCCACACUGGAACUGGACCACGGUCAAGACUCCUACGGGAGGCAGCAGUAGGGAAUCUUCCGCAAUGGGCGAAAGCCUGACGGAGCAACGCCGCGUGAGUGAUGAAGGUCUUCGGAUCGUAAAACUCGGUUAUUAGGGAAGAACAAAUGUGUAAGUAACUAUGCACGGCUUGACGGUACCUAAUCAGAAAGCCACGGCUAACUACGUG